UAUUCUGCCCCACGGGGAAGGAUGAGAAGCUUCGACUAAGGUUCGACUCGAGCAAAGCGAGAGAACGUUGCCGCAGGCAACGGCCCGAAGGGCGAGGAGCGAUAGCGACGAGUUAUCCUUCCCCCACCACCA
rnacentral:sRNA from 1 species